GUUUGUUCCUGUACCGCAGCAGUCUGGUUUGGGCAAUGUGUUUCCCCCCGUGGUGCAGUGGCUGCAGAACCGCGCUGACAUCUCCGUCCUGCUCUCCAUGUCCUCGCGCAGCUCAACAGCUCGUGCUCUCGCCCUCGCUGCAAAAGGCUGCUUCGUCUUCUGUCUCCUCCCGAGGAGCAGGCACCGUGUCCAGCUGGCCAGUCCUCUGGAGCAGAGGUGCCCUCCUUACCACGGCAUACAACAGACGUGUCAGAAAGCCACAGCACUGCGUCUGCAGCUCUAAAACGUAUUACAGGGGCAAGGAUGGAGUGGCAGUGCUGUUUCCUGUGCUGUACCUGCCACAGCCUGAUGUAGGGUGAGUCCAGAACACUGAAGAUCUGCUUUGAAAUAUUGUCCAUGCCCAGAUUGCUGCUGAUGCUGGUGGGAUGGCUACAUCCUAGAUUAGCAGAAGAGCCUGAUGCAGAAGGCACAUGCUAGUGACAACAGUAUGAAAACCUGUUUGUCCUUCACCUCCUGUACUUGUAGGAGCUUGGGCAGGGGGGCCAGUCUUGCCCAGUCUUGCUCUUCUUCCCUCUGUUUGGACCCCACUUCUUUCUUCUGCUCCUCACUUCUACCUUCCAGGUUGUUUGUGUCUCACUGCCGUUUUCUUUUGACUCUUUUUUCAAUGGUAUUUGAACUGAUGAAACCAUUAAUCAAAGCCUAAAAUAAAUGUUUAUUGCAAUAUAUCCUAAUUGCUUUG
rnacentral:lncRNA from 1 species